GUCAGUGAAUGUAAUAACAAAAUAUACCAACAUUAGGUAAUGAUGUUCGAGUUCAAAACAGCGAAUAAGAAAUGAAUUUCAUUCACAAUAUUUCAGAGCUGAACGUCUGGACUUAACAACCGCAAUGGAGUUAUCAAUGUAUUUAUCAAAUGAGCAAGAAUAUGUGCCAUGGAAUAGUUUUCUAGCCUCCGCUAAAUACAUGGAAUAUCUGCUGAGUCGUUCAUCUUUGUAUUGAAUGUUCAAGACCUACUUGUUGAAACUUGUCGAACCAACUCUGUACGAUUACUAUGGAUGGGACGAAGAGAAUAAAAACGAUGAUGCUCUUUUUGAGAGAAUGACAAGACAGACAGGCAUUAAAGCCGCAAACGCGACGGCAUUAUAUAGGAUGUGGAUGGAUGAUCGAACUAAUAAAAG